GCAUAUCAAUAAGCGGAGGAAAAGAAACCAACAGGGAUUGCCCUAGUAACGGCGAGUGAAGCGGCAACAGCUCAAAUUUGAAAUCUGGCCCUCGGGUCCGAAUUGUAAUUUGUAGAGGAUGCUUUUGGUGAGGUACCUUCCGAGUUCCCUGGAACGGGACGCCAUAGAGGGUGAGAGCCCCGUCUGGUUGGAUACCGAUCCUCUGUAAAGCUCCUUCGACGAGUCGAGUAGUUUGGGAAUGCUGCUCUAAAUGGGAGGUAUAUGUCUUCUAAAGCUAAAUAUUGGCCAGAGACCGAUAGCGCACAAGUAGAGUGAUCGAAAGAUGAAAAGCACUUUGAAAAGAGAGUUAAAAAGUACGUGAAAUUGUUGAAAGGGAAGCGCUCAUGACCAGACUUGGGCUUGGUUGAUCAUCCAGGGUUCUCCCUGGUGCACUCUUCCAGCCCAGGCCAGCAUCAGUUCGCUGUGGGGGAUAAAGGCUUUGGGAAUGUGGCUCCUCCGGGAGUGUUAUAGCCCAUUGUGUAAUACCCUGUGGUGGACUGAGGUUCGCGCAUCUGCAAGGAUGCUGGCGUAAUGGUCAUCAGCGACCCGUCUUGAAACACGGACCAAGGAGUCGUCUUCGUAUGCGAGUGUUCGGGUGUUAAACCCCUACGCGUAAUGAAAGUGAACGCAGGUGAGAGCUUCGGCGCAUCAUCGACCGAUCCUGAUGUUCUCGGAUGGAUUUGAGUAAGAGCAUACGGGGCCGGACCCGAAAGAAGGUGAACUAUGCCUGUAUAGGGUGAAGCCAGAGGAAACUACUGGUGGAGGCUCGCAGCGGUUCUGACGUGCAAAUCGAUCGUCAAAUAUGGGCAUGGGGCGAAAGACUAAUCGA
rnacentral:rRNA from 1 species